UACGUAGGGUCCGAGCGUUGUCCGGAAUUAUUGGGCGUAAAGGGCUCGUAGGCGGUCUGUUGCGUCGGGAGUGAAAACUUACAGCUUAACUGUGAGCGUGCUUUCGAUACGGGCAGACUUGAGGCAUUCAGGGGAGAACGGAAUUCCUGGUGUAGCGGUGAAAUGCGCAGAUAUCAGGAGGAACACCGGUGGCGAAGGCAGGUCUCUGGGCCACUACUGACGCUGAGAAGCGAAAGCAUGGGGAGCGAACAGG
rnacentral:rRNA from 1 species